rnacentral:rRNA from 1 species
AUUGAACGCUGGCGGCAUGCCUAACACAUGCAAGUCGAACGGCAGCACAGCCCGCAAGGGUGGGUGGCGAGUGGCGGACGGGUGAGGAAUACAUGGGAAUCUACCCUGUCGUGGGGGAUAACGUAGGGAAACUUACGCUAAUACCGCAUACGACCUCCGGGUGAAAGCGGCGGACCGCAAGGCGUCGCGCGACUGGAUGAGCCCAUGUCGGAUUAGCUAGUUGGCGGGGUAAAGGCCCACCAAGGCGACGAUCCGUAGCUGGUCUGGAAGGAUGAUCAGCCACACGGGAACUGAGACACGGUCCAGACUCCUACGGGAGGCAGCAGUGGGGAAUAUUGGACAAUGGGCGCAAGCCUGAUCCAGCAAUGCCGCGUGGGUGAAGAAGGCCUUCGGGUUGUAAAGCCCUUUUGUACGGGAAGAAAUCCUGUCGGUUAAUACCCGGCGGGGAUGACGGUACCGUAAGAAUAAGCACCGGCUAACUUCGUGCCAGCCGCCGCGGUAA